UACGUAGGGGGCUAGCGUUGUCCGGAAUCAUUGGGCGUAAAGCGCGUGUAGGCGGCCCGGUAAGUCCGCUGUGAAAGUCAAGGGCUCAACCCUUGAAAGCCGGUUGAUACUGUCGGGCUAGAGUCCGGAAGAGGCGAGUGGAAUUCCCGGUGUAGCGGUGAAAUGCGCAGAUAUCGGGAGGAACACCAAUGGCGAAGGCAGCUCGCUGGGACGGUACUGACGCUGAGACGCGAAAGCGUGGGGAGCAAACAGG
rnacentral:rRNA from 1 species